AGAUACUGUGGUGUUUAGCGCUAGAUCAAAACAAACAAGUAUUGAUACUUCCUAUCAGAUAUUUCACCCCAAAUCACUCUUGCUCUGUAAAAUCUGAACAUCAGAGGUUGAAGUUUAUUCAGCACUAGACUUGUUUGAUAUGUACACAGCUCUUUGCAUCUGCUGGCGGUACUCAUUAAUUGUUGCUGGCCAGUUCAAGUGAAUCAGCUGGUUUUACCUCUCUUCUGCCUGCCUGCUCUGCAGCCAGGUUGGGCCUUCUGACACUACAUUUUGUCUCGUAAAAUGCCCCACUAUUGUUACCAGCGGUGGAGCUCUGCUGGUGGUAUUAACACUGGGCUUUCAUUGACGUAAAUUGUCUUCUGGUUGUUUCUGGUACUUUAACUAUUUACUGCUCUGGUUAAAAUGCUGGCAGAUGGCCUUUGUUAGCUCCUCCACCAUUGCAAGAACUGCACUGGUGUUUGCAGCAAUGGGCAAUUUUAAGAAGAAAAAAAAACGUAGAAACAAUCUUACAAUUUGAAAAGUUCAGUAAAUAGAGCAGGAUGAGAGUGAGUCAGACUGCUGCCAGCCAAGCAGCAUCUUCCCCAUCCCUCCCUGCUAAUGGUCCACUGAUUGUUUGGGAGGGGAGAGAGAGGUCUGUAGGGAGCAGGGGCUCAAAGAGAGAGAGCAAAAUAUGCUUUCAGGAGAGUCAGACAUCUAGUGGAAGGGGCAAAAGUAGAAGAGUGAGAUCAAGGGGGAUGGGAAAAGGUAGAGGCAGACAUCGAAACAGACAAAGGAGAAGAAAUAGUAAGAAAAUAACAGCUUUUAGGUUCAGUGAAUUUUAUCUUAUUUGUUCUUCCAUUUAAUUGCUUUUGUCCAGCAUGCACUCCACAGCCACAUUGAAGGGAUAGUGUUGCACUAGGGAUUUGAAGGUGAACUGAUAAUUAACAAAUAAUUGUUAGUGGCAUAGGAUAACUCAGCACAGUUUCAAGGUACAGUGUUUUUGUUUCCCUCUGUGGCCAACAGCUCCUUUUCUAAAGGAUACCCCAGCAGAUACUGGGCUCAACCCCAUAGGAAUCUGCAGGGGAAAUCUUGUAUAAUAUUUAAUGUUUUUGUAAUUUUUAAAGUGAAUUUUUACUCUAUACCCUCUUGCAUUUCCAGUGAUAAAACUUUUGGAAAUAGGUAUAGAGAGAUUUCUGUUAUCCCUGUAAGCUCCAUUGUGGUCCAGUUAUGACUUUGGUCUCUUUGGGAUGUCACAUAGAAUGGAAGGCAGUGACACAAAGCAGGGCAGGGGAGAGGGCAGGUUUAAAUAACAAAUAUAUGGCAUGGCAUUUUUGUUCUGUUUAACUGGAGUAUUCAGCAUGUAUUUUACUAUUAUAGUUGACCAUAUGUAUUAUUUUAAGUUACAUGCCUUAGAUAUGCAUCUGAAGUGGUUGCCCUGCUGCUCAUUUUCAUAGGGGAACUGAACAGCAAAAAUAAAAUUAACAAGAUCUUCCUGAGCUAGUACAUGGUGCUGAAAGUGGGGAGAGCGAAAAUGAUCUCCCUAUAUAAAGAGUUUAGAAUUAGUCCAGUUCCUCCCUGCCUCAUAUAAAAAGGGAAAUUAAUAAAGGGAUAGUCAGUUUCCCUGUGCAGCCAGAUCCAGGGUAAGAAGGCUAGGUGCAGAUGGAAACUAAAUAAUCCUAGUCAGUUUCACUAUGCAAAAUCUUUACACAUGGAGACUGGGCAAAGGAAGAGGAAAGGGAUGAGGAAAAAGUGGCUAGUAGGAAAAAUUAAUGACUGUUUGCAAGGAGAAUUAGAAGAGGGGAAAAAAAGCAGAAAAUAGGGAAAUAAAAAGGAAAGGAGAGAAAUCAGAGAAAGAAAAGGUAGAAUGGCGAGUUAAGGAAAAAAAUCUGCUCCAGUGAUGAUAAUGUGUCAGUAUCACCUCUACACACUUGCAACUGGAAGUUUCAAAGUAACUUUUAAAAUUAUGGGGACUCAAAGAUGGAGAAGGAAAGCUGAUUUUUCUAGAAGUCAGAAGAAAAAUGGGUUACUCCUUCAAUUAUCUGAAGAAACUGUCACCUAGAAAGUCAUCGAGGUUCCAGACAGCAAAAGAGAUGCAUCAAGUAUAUGGGUGCAUAGUACUCUGCACUUUGGCAGAGGUGAUAGUUCCUCCUUAACAAAUGCACUAUGAUUUUCCUCACCGGCUAUAUGUGUGCGUGUCUGAGGAGAUGAAGUGACACCCUCUCGUGCACACAUUGAAAGAUAACCUGUUCUCUUCAGCAUUCCCCUAGAUGGCACCAUGACCCACAGAACAAGAACUGCAUGCUUUCAGAACAAGUCUCUACAGUACUAGCUAGUGGCAGCUGUGCUCGUGAUACAAACAUAUUCUCAAUCACUUUCCAC